AGCGCGGACUUCCCGACCCUGAGCUCUCUGCCCCCACCCCUCCUCCUCGCUACCAAGCAUCACCCUCGUGAGGCCUCGUGGCGUUCCGCGCUGCCCUCGCCGAGCCUGGCGCCUUUUCUGCUAGCGCGGGGCGGGGAUCAGGCGGGGGCAGCGGGGAGGGCCAGGGCACAUGACGCCCCCUCCCCGCGGCCCCGCGCCCAGCACAUGACUCAGGCCGGCAGGCAGACCCGAGCCGCGCGCGUCCCCAGCACGACCCAUGGCCUCUCCGCGACUAGCCACCUUCUGCUGCCCCACGCGGGACGCCGCCACGCGGCUCGCGCUGGGCUUCCAGCCGCGGGCUUUCCACGCGCUGUGUCUGGGUAGCGGCGCGCUCCGCCUGGCGCUCGGCCUCCUGCAGCUGCGGCCCGGGCGCCGGCCCGCGGGCCCCGGGAUCGCCUCAGCCUCGCCGGCGACCUCGGCCCGCGUCCCCGCCUCCGUGCGCAUCGUGCGCGCCGCCACCGCUUGCGACCUGCUUGGCUGCCUGGGUAUCGCGGUCCGAUCUGCGAUGUGGUUAGGGUUUCCGAGUUUCGUGGACGACAUCUCCACCGUGAACAGGACAGAUGUGUGGCCAGCCGUCUUCUGCGUGGGGAGUGCACUCUGGAUCCAGCUGCUGUACAGCGCCUGCUUCUGGUGGUUGUUCUGCUACGCAGUGGAUGCCUACCUGGUGAUCCAGAGGUCGGCUGGACAGAGCACCAUCCUGCUGUACCACCUGAUGACCUGGGGCCUGGCCGCCCUGCUGAGCGUAGAGGGUGCCCUCAUGCUGUACUAUCCUUCCAUGUCCAGGUGCGAGAGGGGCCUGGAGCAUGCCAUCCCCCACUACAUCACCACGUACUUGCCGCUGCUACUGGUCCUCGUGGGCAACCCCAUCUUAUUCCGAAAGACAGUGACCGCAGUGGCCUCCUUACUGAAGGGAAGACAAGGCAUUUACACGGAGAACGAGAGACGCAUGGGAGCCAUGAUCAAGACCCGAUUCUUCAAAAUAAUGCUGGUUUUCAUCGUUUGCUGGUUCUCAAAUGUCAUCAACGAAAGCCUUCUGUUCUAUCUUGAAAUGCAACCAGAUAUCAACAGCAGCUCUUUGAAACAGGUCAGAAACGCGGCCAAGACCACGUGGUUCAUGAUGGGGAUCCUGAAUCCAGCCCAAGGUUUCCUCUUGUCCCUGGCCUUCUAUGGCUGGACGGGCUGCCGCCUGACGCUUCCAGGUCCCAGCAAGGAGAUCCAGUGGGACUCGAUGACCACCUCGGCCACCGAGGGGGCUCCCCCCUCCCCCGGGGGCCCCCACGAGCCCGGGGAAGGCCCCGCUCCCAAGAAGGAGCUUCCAGGUGGCACGCACACUUCCGAUGAGGCCUUGAGCUUGCUUUCUGAAGCCACUUUGCUUUCAUAAGACAGAAAAUACUGUUACAUGUCAGAGAAAAACCCAGAGAUAGAAACUCGAAGUGGAUUGACUUCCAGGCUGACAUGCUUCCACCGAGCCUUCGUCAUUAAGCAUCUAACAUGGUGUCUGGCACUUACUCGCCACUUAACAGAAAAGGCAACUGAAUUUGAACAAAUAUUCCUUGAGCGCCUGCAACCCAAUCAACACUAUUUUAGCUGAGGUGGGGGCUGGGGUGUGAGCAUCUCUGAGAAGCAUCAUGUGGCAACUUAGAAAUAAAGACUUAUAAAUAAAU